UACGUAGGGGGCAAGCGUUGUCCGGAUUUAUUGGGCGUAAAGAGCGUGUAGGCGGCCAGAUAGGUCCGUUGUGAAAACUCGAGGCUCAACCUCGAGACGCCGAUGGAAACCAUUUGGCUAGAGUCCGGAAGAGGAGAGUGGAAUUCCUGGUGUAGCGGUGAAAUGCGCAGAUAUCAGGAGGAACACCAAUGGCGAAGGCAGCUCGCUGGGACGUGACUGACGCUGAGACGCGAAAGCGUGGGGAGCAAACAGG
rnacentral:rRNA from 1 species